rnacentral:rRNA from 1 species
CGCUAGCUACAGGCUUAACACAUGCAAGUCGAGGGGCAGCAUGGUCUUAGCUUGCUAAGGCCGAUGGCGACCGGCGCACGGGUGAGUAACACGUAUCCAACCUGCCGUCUACUCUUGGACAGCCUUCUGAAAGGAAGAUUAAUACAAGAUGGCAUCAUGAGUCCGCAUGUUCACAUGAUUAAAGGUAUUCCGGUAGACGAUGGGGAUGCGUUCCAUUAGAUAGUAGGCGGGGUAACGGCCCACCUAGUCUUCGAUGGAUAGGGGUUCUGAGAGGAAGGUCCCCCACAUUGGAACUGAGGCACGGUCCAAACUCCUACGGGAGGCAGCAGUGAGGAAUAUUGGUCAAUGGGCGAGAGCCUGAACCAGCCAAGUAGCGUGAAGGAUGACUGCCCUAUGGGUUGUAAACUUCUUUUAUAAAGGAAUAAAGUCGGGUAUGCAUACCCGUUUGCAUGUACUUUAUGAAUAAGGAUCGGCUAACUCCGUGCCAGCAGCCGCGGUAAUACGGAGGAUCCGAGCGUUAUCCGGAUUUAUUGGGUUUAAAGGGAGCGUAGAUGGAUGUUUAAGUCAGUUGUGAAAGUUUGCGGCUCAACCGUAAAAUUGCAGUUGAUACUGGAUAUCUUGAGUGCAGUUGAGGCAGGCGGAAUUCGUGGUGUAGCGGUGAAAUGCUUAGAUAUCACGAAGAACUCCGAUUGCGAAGGCAGCCUGCUAAGCUGCAACUGACAUUGAGGCUCGAAAGUGUGGGUAUCAAACAGGAUUAGAUACCCUGGUAGUCCACACGGUAAACGAUGAAUACUCGCUGUUUGCGAUAUACGGCAAGCGGCCAAGCGAAAGCGUUAAGUAUUCCACCUGGGGAGUACGCCGGCAACGGUGAAACUCAAAGGAAUUGACGGGGGCCCGCACAAGCGGAGGAACAUGUGGUUUAAUUCGAUGAUACGCGAGGAACCUUACCCGGGCUUAAAUUGCAGAUGAAUUACGGUGAAAGCCGUAAGCCGCAAGGCAUCUGUGAAGGUGCUGCAUGGUUGUCGUCAGCUCGUGCCGUGAGGUGUCGGCUUAAGUGCCAUAACGAGCGCAACCCUUGUUGUCAGUUACUAACAGGUUCCGCUGAGGACUCUGACAAGACUGCCAUCGUAAGAUGUGAGGAAGGUGGGGAUGACGUCAAAUCAGCACGGCCCUUACGUCCGGGGCUACACACGUGUUACAAUGGGGGGUACAGAGGGCCGCUACCACGCGAGUGGAUGCCAAUCCCAAAAACCUCUCUCAGUUCGGACUGGAGUCUGCAACCCGACUCCACGAAGCUGGAUUCGCUAGUAAUCGCGCAUCAGCCACGGCGCGGUGAAUACGUUCCCGGGCCUUGUACACACCGCCCGUCAAGCCAUGGGAGCCGGGGGUACCUGAAGUGCGUAACCGCGAGGAGCGCCCUAGGGUAAAACUGGUGACUGGGGCUAAG